UCUUGACACACCCCUCUCCAAUGCAUUGGGUCUUAGAGUGAGUCUUAAAUCAUCAUUUCCACAAAAUUCACAUUUUUAUACUUUUAUUUUUAAAUUCCAAAUUUCAUUAAAAUUAAAAUUAAACAUUGCAAUAAAAGUAAAAAUUACAUAAUUUAAAUAAUAAAAAAAUUACAUAAUUUAAAUAAUUAAGAUUUUAAAAGAAAAAAACAAAAACAAAAUUCCCCACCCCCACCGACUCCCCUUUUCUUCUUUCUUUCCCCACCGACUCCCUUCGCCCCCUAUCUCCUUCUCUUUUCCAGCAAAACAUUCAGCAAAAAUCCACUCCAGGUCUUGCCUUCGCCAAAAUUCC
rnacentral:lncRNA from 1 species